rnacentral:rRNA from 1 species
UUUAAUUCGAUGCAACGCGAAAAACCUUACCACUCCUUGACAUGGAAAUUAUACCUAUUCGAAGGAAUAGGAUCGGUUCGGCCGGAUUUCACACAGGUGUUGCAUGGCUGUCGUCAGCUCGUGUCGUGAGAUGUUGGGUUAAGUCCCGCAACGAGCGCAACCCUCAUCCUUAGUUACCAUCGGGUCAUGCCGGGGACUUUAAGGAAACUGCCAGUGAUAAACUGGAGGAAGGCGGGGAUGAUGUCAAGUCAUCAUGGCCCUUAUGGAGUGGGCUACACACGUGCUACAAUGGUGAUUACAGUGGGCUGCAAGGUCGCAAGGCCAAGCCAAUCCCUAAAAAUCAUCUCAGUUCGGAUUGUUCUCUGCAACUCGAGAGCAUGAAGUUGGAAUCGCUAGUAAUCGUGGAUCAGCAUGCCA